UUCAACGACUUAGGAACAUUCAGGUAUAAUACUUCUUCAGUGCCGUUAAUAACACAUUGAAUUUUCACAACAAAAUGUCCAAAAUUUGCACCGUUUUACUUCUUAUUGCAAUAAUUUACGUUGGCAUUUCGGAUGCUAUAUCCUGUCAAGCUCAACGAAAUGGUAAUCGACCAGCCCAAUGUCAUUGGGGUGGCUGUCCAGGAGGUUACCGAAGUGUCUUCUGGGAUUCUGGUUGUUUAAGCUAUUUCGGUGUUGCUCAGUACUGCUGCAUUUAGAGUUACUGACUUUAAUAAAAUUUGUUGAUAAACAGAUGAUCCAAUAAUAAAUUGUUCUUCAGAAAAAAUAAUUUGUUAAGUCUUUCU